rnacentral:rRNA from 1 species
GAUGAACGCUAGCGGCAGGCCUAAUACAUGCAAGUCGGACGGGAUUCAGGAGCUUGCUUCUGAAGAGAGUGGCGCACGGGUGCGUAACACGUAUGUAACCUACCUUUAUCAGGGGGAUAGCCUCUCGAAAGAGAGAUUAAGCCCGCAUAAAAUCACAGCACAGCAUUGUGUAAUGAUCAAAUAUUUAUAGGAUAAAGAUGGGCAUGCGGAACAUUAGCUAGAUGGCGGGGUAACGGCCCACCAUGGCGACGAUGUUUAGGGGAUCUGAGAGGAUGGCCCCCCACACUGGUACUGAGACACGGACCAGACUCCUACGGGAGGCAGCAGUAAGGAAUAUUGGUCAAUGGGCGGAAGCCUGAACCAGCCAUGCCGCGUGCAGGAAGACGGCCCUACGGGUUGUAAACUGCUUUUAUACGGGAAUAAACCCAGAUACGUGUAUCUGGCUGAAUGUACUGUAAGAAUAAGGAUCGGCUAACUCCGUG